AGUGAACGCCGGCGGUAGGCCUAACACAUGCAAGUCGAACGGCAGCACAGUAAGAGCUUGCUCUUACGGGUGGCGAGUGGCGGACGGGUGAGGAAUACAUCGGAAUCUACUUUUUCGUGGGGGAUAACGUAGGGAAACUUACGCUAAUACCGCAUACGACCUACGGGUGAAAGCAGGGGAUCUUCGGACCUUGCGCGAUUGAAUGAGCCGAUGUCGGAUUAGCUAGUUGGCGGGGUAAAGGCCCACCAAGGUGACGAUCCGUAGCUGGUCUGAGAGGAUGAUCAGCCACACUGGAACUGAGACACGGUCCAGACUCCUACGGGAGGCAGCAGUGGGGAAUAUUGGACAAUGGGCGCAAGCCUGAUCCAGCCAUACCGCGUGGGUGAAGAAGGCCUUCGGGUUGUAAAGCCCUUUUGUUGGGAAAGAAAAGCAGCAGGUUAAUACCCCGCUGUUCUGACGGUACCCAAAGAAUAAGCACCGGCUAACUUCGUG
rnacentral:rRNA from 1 species